UCAUUUUAUUUGUUUUUAAGAUAAAAAUGUUAGUUAUUCUGUAUCUAUUCACUCGGAAGCCUAAACAAUAAAAUGCUUAAUUUAUUUGUGUUUCUAACCCUCGUUUCUGUUUCACAGGGAAAUAUUGAAGAAACACAGCCUGGAGCUUUUCCUUUCACAGUUUCUCUUCAGAUUCCCGAGCUUGGAGGGCAUACAUGUGCUGGAGCUAUUUUAACUGAAUCGUAAAUAUAUAAAUUUCAAUAUUUAAUUUUU